CUGGGGCGCCCAGAUAGCACAGUGGUGGAGCGGGCGCCAUACAUAGAGGUUUACUUAUAUUUGCGGAC